GCAGGCAUCUUAUCAGCCUACAUGUAGAUUGCCAAAUCUGCAGGCUGGUUAGAUGGUUGUC
rnacentral:pre_miRNA from 1 species